CCUACGGGAGGCAGCAGUGAGGAAUAUUGGUCAAUGGGCGCUAGCCUGAACCAGCCACGUAGCGUGAAGGAUGACUGCCCUAUGGGUUGUAAACUUCUUUUAUAUGGGAAUAAAGUGCAGUAUGUAUACUGCUUUGCAUGUACCUUAUGAAUAAGGAUCGGCGAACUCCGUGCCAGCAGCCGCGGUAAUACGGAGGCUCCGACCGUUAUCCGGAUUUAUUGGGUUUAAAGGGAGCGUAGGCGGGUUGGUAAGUCAGUUGUGAAAGUUUGCGGUGCAACCGUAAAAUUGCAGUUGAUACUGGCAUCCUUGAGUACAGUAGAGGUAGGCGGAAUUCGUGGUGUAGCGGUGAAAUGCGUAGAUAUCACGAAGAACGCCGAUUGCGAAGGCAGCCUGCUGGACUGUAACUGACGCUGAUGCACGAAAGUGUGGGUAGCAAACAGGAUUAGAUACCCUAGUAGUC
rnacentral:rRNA from 1 species